AUUGAACGCUGGCGGCAUGCCUUACACAUGCAAGUCGAACGGCAGCACGGGAGCAAUCCUGGUGGCGAGCGGCGAACGGGUGAGUAAUGUAUCGGAACGUACCUUUCAGUGGGGGAUAACGUAGCGAAAGUUACGCUAAUACCGCAUAUUCUGUGUGCAGGAAAGCAGGGGAUCGCAAGACCUUGCGCUGAUUGAGCGGCCGAUAUCAGAUUAGCUAGUUGUGAGGUAGAGGCUCACCAAGGCGACGAUCUGUAGCGGGUCUGAGAGGAUGAUCCGCCACACUGGAACUGAGACACGGUCCAGACUCCUACGGGAGGCAGCAGUGGGGAAUUUUGGACAAUGGGGGCAACCCUGAUCCAGCCAUGCCGCGUGAGUGAAGAAGGCC
rnacentral:rRNA from 1 species